GGGGGUGCACUGGUUUCGACGGGGAUCGGAAGCGCUUGUUGCAUGCCGGAGUGGGCUGGCUCCGUUAAAAAGCCCAACACUGUAUAAACGCCGACAACGACGUUCAAUACGCAAUGGCAGCUUAAUUGCUGUCACGUCUUAUGAUCUAUCGCCCGUGUAGUUCAUAAGACGCCAAGAAGCGGGCUAGUUUCAAUGAUUGUCUGUGCCAUUGAAGCGAAACUUUAGCAGACACCCCCGCCUGGAAUCCUGUUUGUGGGAGUCCUUGCGGGUAAUAAUACACAAACUAAGCAUGUAGACGCUUGACGUGAAAGAUUUUCGGACGCGGGUUCGAUUCCCGCCACCUCCACCA
rnacentral:tmRNA from 1 species